AGGGUGCAGGGCGGAUGCCUUGGCACUAGGAGCCGAUGAAGGACGUGAUAAGCUGCGAUAAGCUUCGGGGAGUUGCACGUAAACUUUGAUCCGAAGAUUUCCGAAUGAGGAAACUCACUUAGAGUAAUGUCUAAGUAUCAUUAAGUGAAUACAUAGCUUAAUGAGGGGAACUCAGGGAACUGAAACAUCUAAGUACCUGAAGGAAGAGAAAGAAAUUCGAUUCCGUAAGUAGCGGCGAGCGAACGCGGAUUAGCCCAAACCAAUAAAGUUUUCUUUAUUGGGGUUGCGGACAUAUCAUAACGAAGAGGUAUCGUAAUUGAAGAGGUUUGGAAAGACCCACCACAGAAGGUAAUAGUCCUGUAUGUUAAACGAGAAGACUUUAGAUAUGAUCCAGAGUACCACGGGACACGUGAAACCCUGUGGGAAGCAGGAGGGACCACCCUCCAAGGCUAAAUACUACCUAGUGACCGAUAGCGUAUAGUACCGUGAGGGAAAGGUGAAAAGAACCCCGGGAGGGGAGUGAAAUAGAACCUGAAACCCUGCACUUACAAGCUGUGGAAGCACAUUUCUUGUGUGACCGCGUACUUUUUGUAGAACGGGCCAACGAGUUACGUUAAGUAGCAAGGUUAAGCACUUAAGGUGUGGAGCCGUAGCGAAAGCGAGUUUUAACUGAGCGUUCAGUUACUUGACGUAGACCCGAAACCGGGCGACCUACCCAUGAGCAGGAUGAAGCGAAAGUAAAAUUUCGUGGAGGUCCGAACCCACGAGCGUUGAAAAGCUCGGGGAUGACUUGUGGGUAGCGGUGAAAUUCCAAUCGAGCCCGGAGAUAGCUGGUUCUCCCCGAAAUAGCUUUAGGGCUAGCCUCAAGGUGAGAGAUACGGAGGUAGAGCACUGAAUGUCCUAGGGGGUAUUGCACCUACCGAAGACUAUCAAACUCCGAAUGCCGUCAUCUUAUACUUGGGAGUCAGACUGUGGGUGAUAAGAUUCAUAGUCGAAAGGGCAACAGCCCAGAUCGUCAGCUAAGGUCCCUAAAUGUAAGUUAAGUGGUAAAGGAUGUGGGAUUGCACAGACAACCAGGAUGUUGGCUUAGAAGCAGCCACUCAUUCAAAGAGUGCGUAAUAGCUCACUGGUCGAGUGAUCCUGCGCCGAAGAUUUCCGGGGCUAAAACUUACUACCGAAGCUACGGCAUCAGUAAUGAUGGGUAGGGGAGCUUCCCAUACGGGUUGAAGCAUGACCGUAAGGACAUGUGGACAGUAUGGGAGUGAGAAUGUUGGCAUGAGUAGCGAGAUGUGGGUGAGAAUCCCACAGGCCGUAAACCCAAGGUUUCCAGGGGAAGGUUCGUCCGCCCUGGGUUAGUCGGGACCUAAGCUGAGGCCGAAAGGCGUAGGUGAUGGACAACAGGUUGAUAUUCCUGUACUACCGAUAACCGUUUGAGAGAAGGGAUGACACAGUAGGAUAAGCUAAGCACACUGUUGGUUAUGUGUGCCCAAGCAUUGAGGCAGUCAAAGUAGGCAAAUCCGCUUUGAUAAUGCUGGGAUGUGAUGGGGAGCGAAAUUUAGUAGCGAAGUAGCUGAUUUCACACUGUCAAGAAAAGUCUCUAUCGAGGUUAAAGGUACCCGUACCGCAAACCGACACAGGUGGGUGAGGAGAGUAUCCUAAGGCCAGCGAGAGAACUGUUGUUAAGGAACUCGGCAAAAUGACCCCGUAACUUAGGGAUAAGGGGUGCCACCAUCAGGUGGCCGCAGAGAAUAGGCCCAAGCGACUGUUUACCAAAAACAUAGGUUUCUGCUAAGUCGCAAGACGAUGUAUAGGAGCUGACGCCUGCCCGGUGCUGGAAGGUUAAGGGGAUCUGUUAGAGCAAUCGAAGCAGUGAACUUAAGCCCCAGUAAACGGCGGCCGUAACUAUAACGGUCCUAAGGUAGCGAAAUUCCUUGUCGGGUAAGUUCCGACCCGCACGAAAGGCGUAACGAUUUGGGCACUGUCUCAACAACAGACUCGGUGAAAUUGUAAUUCCGGUGAAGAUGCCGGAUACCUGCGACAGGACGGAAAGACCCCAUGGAGCUUUACUGUAGCUUGACAUUGGGUCUUGGUACUACAUGUACAGGAUAGGUGGGAGGCUUUGAAACCAGGACGCCAGUUUUGGCGGAGCCAUCCUUGGGAUACCACCCUUGUAGUACUGGGACUCUAACCAUAGGCCAUGAAUCUGGUCUUGGGACACUGUCAGGUGGGCAGUUUGACUGGGGCGGUCGCCUCCCAAAAGGUAACGGAGGCGCUCAAAGGUUCUCUCAGUACGGUCGGAAAUCGUACGUAGAGUGUAAAGGCAAAAGAGAGCUUGAUUGCAAGACAUACAGGUCGAGCAAGGAUGAA
rnacentral:rRNA from 1 species